rnacentral:rRNA from 1 species
AGAGUUUGAUCCUGGCUCAGAACAAACGCUGGCGGCGUGCCUAACACAUGCAAGUCGUACGUGAAAGUUCCGCAAGGAACGAGUAAAGUGGCGAACGGGUGAGUAAUACAUAGGUAAUCUACUUAUAAGUUCGGGAUAACAGUUCGAAAGGAUUGCUAAUACCGGAUAAUGUGCUUAGUCAAAAGAUUAAGUACCAAAGGUGGCCUCUUCACAACGCUAUCGAUUAUAAAUGAGCCUAUGGACCAUUAGUUAGUUGGCAGGGUAAUAGCCUACCAAGACAAAGAUGGUUAGCUGGUCUGAGAGGAUGACCAGCCACACUGAACUGAAACACGUC